rnacentral:lncRNA from 1 species
AUGGGAGCCAGGGGGAGCGAUCCUGCUCACUCCAUUCAAGAAUCCCAAGUAUUCAAGAUGGACGGCAGGGAGUGUGGAAAGAGAAAAAGGGGGAAGAGGGGAUGAGAAGAGCAAGAAAAGGAGAGAGGGCACCGAGGGCCAGCCGGCCGGCUGCCUGCAGCUCCCCUCCCCGCCGGCUCUUCUCAGGAGGCUGCACAAUCUCAUCUCAGCCAAGACUUGAGAAGGGGGGAGGAAGAGGAGGAGGAGGUGGAAAAGGCAGGAGAGAGGGAGUGGGAAAGGGGGAGCUGAGGACAGACACAGGAGAGAGGGAAGGCGAGAGAGAGGGAGGGAAGGGAAGAAAAGGGAAGGAAAGGCGAGAGAAGGGAAGGGAAAGAAGGAAAGGGAAGGGAAGGAAAAGGAAGGGAAAGGAAGGGAAAGGAAGGGAAAGGAAGGGAAGAGCCAGAGCAGAGGCAGAGGGAAGUGGCAGGAAAUUGACCAGAAAGAAGAGAACUCUAGAUAUUCUCAGCUCCCAGAAGGAUCCUAAGGGCUUGGUCCCACAUCCCCUGCAGCUCUGGGGCUGGGGCUGGGAUUGGAAUUGGGGCUGGAAGACCGAGACCAGCCAUUGCGGAGAGUGAAUGGGAUGGAUUCAAAUUCCUCCCCUCCCCCCCAUUUCCUUCGAGAUCUCUACACCACAGUCUUGGGAAGAACUUCGAGGAACGCCUGGCUCCUGGGCCCACGGUGGGGGAGGGGCCAUUCCAGACUGGGUGAGUCCCAGGGUUUUUCUCUUUGGGGAUGAAAUGGAGGAGAGAGCUGGUGGCGGGGGGGGGGGGGGGGGGGGGGGGGGGGGGGGGAGCUGUUACUCCCCCUCCCCCUUUCCUGUAUCCAUAGCUUCCCUCAAGCCCAGGUUUCUCUCUUUACCCUGCUUGAGUAGAUGGGUGGUGGGAAGGACUGCCUCCCUCUAACUGAGGAGCAGUCAGCCCUCUCUUUGCCCCUUUGUCCCUCGCUGGUGUGACCCAUUUGCUAGCUCUGACUGGCUUGCCUAGCCCUGGGGGCAGAGGUCAGGACCCACCCUUGGUGACUGACCCCAAGCCAGGCUUCCACUUCCUUCCAUUAGGACUCUCUGCAAACGGGGCCCCUGUGUUUAAAGAUCAAUGGAACAAACUGCCCUGUUGAAGCUGGGAGGUGGAACCUGGUGUGCAAACAGGAGAGGGGCGGGGUGUCCUUUGGGCUGCUGCUGCUGCUGAGGGAUUCAGUGGGAGGUCCUGUGCCCUCCUUAUAAGGCCCUAGACGGUGGAGGGAUCCCCAAACCCCAGGAAUCAACUCUUGACUUGUCUUUUCUUCUCUGUACCAG